ACGUAGGUGGCAAGCGUUAUCCGGAUUUACUGGGCGUAAAGGGUCCGUAGGUGGUUGGGAGGGUCUGGUGUGAAAGCGCUCGGCUUAACCGGGAGAGGACGUGCGAGACUGUCGGACUAGAGGCAGGUAGAGGCAAGUGGAAUUCCGGGUGUAGUGGUGAAAUGCGUAGAGAUCCGGAGGAACCCCGGUGGCGAAGGCGACUUGCUGGGCCUGAACUGACGCUCAGACGCGAAAGCAUGGGGAGCGAACGG
rnacentral:rRNA from 1 species